ensembl:snRNA U2 U2 spliceosomal RNA
ACAACUUAUUCAUGUGUUACAUAUGCUGCAUGAAACUUAAUCUGACACGUCUCCUACCCGGGGACCAUAUAUUAAAUAGAUUUUUGGAACAGGGAGAUGGAAUAGGGGCUUGCUCCGUCCACUCCACGCAUCGACCUGGUAUUGCAGUAUCUCCAGGAACGGUGCACUCCCU